rnacentral:rRNA from 1 species
UGGGGAAUUUUGGACAAUGGGCGAAAGCCUGAUCCAGCAAUGCCGCGUGUGUGAAGAAGGCCUUCGGGUUGUAAAGCACUUUUGUCCGGAAAGAAAUCCUUGGCUCUAAUACAGUCGGGGGAUGACGGUACCGGAAGAAUAAGCACCGGCUAACUACGUGCCAGCAGCCGCGGUAAUACGUAGGGUGCAAGCGUUAAUCGGAAUUACUGGGCGUAAAGCGUGCGCAGGCGGUUUGCUAAGACCGAUGUGAAAUCCCCGGGCUCAACCUGGGAACUGCAUUGGUGACUGGCAGGCUAGAGUAUGGCAGAGGGGGGUAGAAUUCCACGUGUAGCAGUGAAAUGCGUAGAGAUGUGGAGGAAUACCGAUGGCGAAGGCAGCCCCCUGGGCCAAUACUGACGCUCAUGCACGAAAGCGUGGGGAGCAAACAGGAUUAGAUACCCUGGUAGUCCACGCCCUAAACGAUGUCAACUAGUUGUUGGGGAUUCAUUUCCUAGUAACGUAGCUGACGCGUGAAGUUGACCGCCUGGGGAGUACGGUCGCAAGAUUAAAACUCAAAGGAAUUGACGGGGUCAUAGCUGUUUCCU